rnacentral:rRNA from 1 species
UACGAGAGGCCCAAACGUUAUUCGGAAUUACUGGGCUUAAAGAGUUCGUAGGCGGCGCAGAAAGUAGGGUGUGAAAGCCCUCGGCUUAACCGAGGAAUUGCGCUCUAAACUACUGUGCUUGAGGAAGCUAGAGGUGAGCGGAACUGAUGGUGGAGCGGUGAAAUGCGUUGAUAUCAUCAGGAACUCCGGUGGCGAAGGCGGCUCGCGUGGAC